rnacentral:misc_RNA from 1 species
GAUGAAGAACGUAGCGAAAUGCGAUACUUGGUGUGAAUUGCAGAAUCCCGUGAACCAUCGAGUCUUUGAACGCAAGUUGCGCCCGAAGCCAUUAGGCCGAGGGCACGCCUGCCUGGGCGUCACACGUCGUUGCCCCCCCCAUCUACUCCUUCGGGAUUGCGGGGGGCGGAUGAUGGCCUCCCGUGCGCCUCGCCGCGCGGUUGGCAUAAAUGCCAAGUCCUCGGCGAUGCACGCCACGACAAUCGGUGGUUGCGAAACCUCGGUUGCCCGUCGUGUGCGGUCGUCGCGCAUCGAGGGCUCGAAAAAAUUGCCGGGUUCCGGCUCGGCUUUCAACGCGACCCCAGGUCAGGCGGGGUUACCCGCUGAAUUUAAGCAUAUCAUAAGCGGAGGA